AUUUUAGUAGCUUAUAUAAUAGAGCGCAGUGUUGAAGAUACUGAGGAGGUAAAUUUACUUUAAAAUA
rnacentral:tRNA from 1 species